UGGGGAAUCUUAGACAAUGGGCGCAAGCCUGAUCUAGCCAUGCCGCGUGAGCGAUGAAGGCCUUAGGGUUGUAAAGCUCUUUCAGUGGGGAAGAUAAUGACUGUAUCCACAGAAGAAGCCCCGGCUAACUCCGUGCCAGCAGCCGCGGUAAUACGGAGGGGGCUAGCGUUGUUCGGAAUUACUGGGCGUAAAGCGCACGUAGGCGGACUGGAAAGUCAGGGGUGAAAUCCCGGGGCUCAACCCCGGAAAUGCCUCUGAAACUCCCGGUCUUGAGGUCGGGAGAGGUGAGUGGAAUUCCGAGUGUAGAGGUGAAAUUCGUAGGUAUGCAGAGGAACGGCAGUGGCGAAGGCGGGUCACUGGCUCGAUACUGACGCUGAGGUGCGAAAGCGUGAGGAGCGAACA
rnacentral:rRNA from 1 species